rnacentral:rRNA from 1 species
AUGAACGCUGGCGGCGUGCCUAAUACAUGCAAGUCGAGCGAACAGACGAGGAGCUUGCUCCUCUGACGUUAGCGGCGGACGGGUGAGUAACACGUGGAUAACCUACCUAUAAGACUGGGAUAACUUCGGGAAACCGGAGCUAAUACCGGAUAAUAUAUUGAACCGCAUGGUUCAAUAGUGAAAGACGGUUUUGCUGUCACUUAUAGAUGGAUCCGCGCCGCAUUAGCUAGUUGGUAAGGUAACGGCUUACCAAGGCAACGAUGCGUAGCCGACCUGAGAGGGUAUCGGCCACACUGGAACUGAGACACGGUCCAGACUCCUACGGGAGGCAGCAGUAGGGAAUCUUCCGCAAUGGGCGAAAGCCUGACGGAGCAACGCCGCGUGAGUGAUGAAGGUCUUCGGAUCGUAAAACUCUGUUAUUAGGGAAGAACAAAUGUGUAAGUAACUAUGCACGUCUUGACGGUACCUAAUCAGAAAGCCACGGCUAACUACGUG